GCCGAUGUAGCUCAGUUGGUCAGAGCAGCUGAUUUGUAAUCAGCAGGUCGUGGGUUCGAAUCCCUCCAUCGGCU
rfam:Salinivirga cyanobacteriivorans strain L21-Spi-D4 chromosome, complete genome.